UACACACCGCCCGUCACACCAUGGGAGUUUACUGUACCGGAAGUCGGUGCUCCCAACCCCGCAAGGGGAGGAAGCCGCCUAUGGUAUGGUCGAUGACUGGGGUG
rnacentral:rRNA from 1 species